rnacentral:rRNA from 1 species
GAUGAACGCUGGCGGCGUGCCUAAUACAUGCAAGUCGAGCGAACGGACGAGAAGCUUGCUUCUCUGAUGUUAGCGGCGGACGGGUGAGUAACACGUGGAUAACCUACCUAUAAGACUGGGAUAACUUCGGGAAACCGGAGCUAGUACCGGAUAAUAUUUUGAACCGCAUGGUUCAAAAGUGAAAGACGGUCUUGCUGUCACUUAUAGAUGGAUCCGCGCUGCAUUAGCUAGUUGGUAAGGUAACGGCUUACCAAGGCAACGAUGCAUAGCCGACCUGAGAGGGUAAUCGGCCACACUGGAACUGAGACACGGUCCAGACUCCUACGGGAGGCAGCAGUAGGGAAUCUUCCGCAAUGGGCGAAAGCCUGACGGAGCAACGCCGCGUGAGUGAUGAAGGUCUUCGGAUCGUAAAACUCUGUUAUUAGGGAAGAACAUAUGUGUAAGUAACUGUGCACAUCUUGACGGUACCUAAUCAGAAAGCCACGGCUAACUACGUG